UACGUAGGGUGCGAGCGUUAAUCGGAAUUACUGGGCGUAAAGCGUGCGCAGGCGGAUGUUUAAGUCAGAUGUGAAAUCCCCGGGCUCAACCUGGGAAUGGCAUUUGAAACUGGGCAUCUAGAGUGCGUCAGAGGGGGGUGGAAUUCCACGUGUAGCAGUGAAAUGCGUAGAGAUGUGGAGGAACACCGAUGGCGAAGGCAGCCCCCUGGGAUGACACUGACGCUCAUGCACGAAAGCGUGGGGAGCAAACGGGAUUAGAUACCCUGGUAGUCCACGCCCUAAACGAUGUCAACGAGUUGUUGGGGACGUAAGUUCUUGGUGACGAAGCUAACGCGUGAAGUUGGCCGCCUGGGGAGUACGGCCGCAAGGUUG
rnacentral:rRNA from 1 species